rnacentral:rRNA from 1 species
UCAAUGGUCGGCAGACUGAACCAGCCAAGUCGCGUGAGGGAAGACGGCCCUACGGGUUGUAAACCUCUUUUGUCGGAGAGUAAAGUGCGCUACGCGUAGCGUAUUGCAAGUAUCCGAAGAAAAAGCAUCGGCUAACUCCGUGCCAGCAGCCGCGGUAAUACGGAGGAUGCGAGCGUUAUCCGGAUUUAUUGGGUUUAAAGGGUGCGUAGGCGGCACGCCAAGUCAGCGGUGAAAUUUCCGGGCUCAACCCGGAUUGUGCCGUUGAAACUGGCGAGCUAGAGUGCACAAGAGGCAGGCGGAAUGCGUGGUGUAGCGGUGAAAUGCAUAGAUAUCACGCAGAACCCCGAUUGCGAAGGCAGCCUGCUAGGGUGCGACAGACGCUGAGGCACGAAAGCGUGGGUAUCGAACAGGAUUAGAUACCCUGGUAGUCCACGCAGUAAACGAUGAAUACUAACUGUUUGCGAUACAAUGUAAGCGGUACAGCGAAAGCGUUAAGUAUUCCACCUGGGGAGUACGCCGGCAACGGUGAAACUCAAAGGAAUUGACGGGGGCCCGCACAAGCGGAGGAACAUGUGGUUUAAUUCGAUGAUACGCGAGGAACCUUACCCGGGCUCAAACGCAGGGGGAAUGCCGGUGAAAGCCGGCAGCUAGCAAUAGUCACCUGCGAGGUGCUGCAUGGUUGUCGUCAGCUCGUGCCGUGAGGUGUCGGCUUAAGUGCCAUAACGAGCGCAACCCUUAUCACUAGUUACUAACAGGUGAAGCUGAGGACUCUGGUGAGACUGCCAGCGUAAGCUGUGAGGAAGGUGGGGAUGACGUCAAAUCAGCACGGCCC